CCUCGACUGCAUGAUGACUAAACUUUUUUCCCCAUCAGAUCGACAGUGUUGAUUUAUGAAGCUUUUAAGCCAGUUUUGUCUGAUCAGUCGUCG